UACGUAGGUGGCAAGCGUUGUCCGGAUUUACUGGGCGUAAAGCGCGGGCAGGCGGUCUGACAAGUCUGAUGUGAAAUCUCCGGGCUUAACCGGGAGAGGCCAUUGGAAACUGACAGGCUGGAGGGCAGUAGAGGUAGGCGGAAUUCCGGGUGGAGUGGUGAAAUGCGUAGAGAUCCGGAGGAACACCAGAGGCGAAAGCGGCGCUCUGGGCUGCACCUGACGCUGAACUGCGAAAGCCAGGGGAGCGAACGGG
rnacentral:rRNA from 1 species